AAUAGAUACCCACGGUAGUCCACGCCGUAAACGAUGAGUGCUAAGUGUUGGGGGGUUUCCGCCCCUCAGUGCUGCAGCUAACGCAUUAAGCACUCCGCCUGGGGAGUACGGUCGCAAGACUGAAACUCAAAGGAAUUGACGGGGGCCCGCACAAGCGGUGGAGCAUGUGGUUUAAUUCGAAGCAACGCGAAGAACCUUACCAGGUCUUGACAUCCCGGUGACCACUAUGGAGACAUAGUUUCCCCUUCGGGGGCAACGGUGACAGGUGGUGCAUGGUUGUCGUCAGCUCGUGUCGUGAGAUGUUGGGUUAAGUCCCGCAACGAGCGCAACCCUUAUUCUUAGUUGCCAUCAUUCAGUUGGGCACUCUAAGGGGACUGCCGGUGAUAAACCGGAGGAAGGUGGGGAUGACGUCAAAUCAUCAUGCCCCUUAUGACCUGGGCUACACACGUGCUACAAUGGACGGUACAAACGGUUGCCAACCCGCGAGGGGAGCUAAUCCGAUAAAACCGUUCUCAGUUCGGAUUGUAGGCUGCAACUCGCCUACA
rnacentral:rRNA from 1 species